CAAUGGUGGUGACAGUGGGCAGCGAGACCGCGAGGUCGAGCUAAUCUCCAAAAGCCAUCUCAGUUCGGAUUGCACUCUGCAACUCGAGUGCAUGAAGUUGGAAUCGCUAGUAAUCGCGGAUCAGCAUGCCGCGGUGAAUACGUUCCCGGGCCUUGUACACACCGCCCGUCACACCAUGGGAGUUGGUUUUACCCGAAGGCACUGUGCUAACCGCAAGAGG
rnacentral:rRNA from 1 species